CCCAACCUUCUCCCCACGUUACCCAUAUCUGACUUGUUCUGGCUUCGAGUGCCUGCUUGGAGUGAGCUCGUGGGAUGCUGGACGAGCUCUGCUGGGUUCUCUGCUACUGAAAUACUGCAGGGGAAAGCUGACUUACACCAUUUGGGAAUCGGCCCUUUGACCUCGGUGGGGCAAAGCGAUGUUCCCAUGUUGCAGGUGUACCACUGCCUGCCUUCUGUUUGCCUUCUGGGGAUCUGGGAAAGGCAGGGUGCAGCUCACCUCCCUGCGUGGUCGUGUAGCAGCCCCCGACCGCUCUGUGGGUCUGGGCAUGGAUCUACCCCACUAAAGCCCUCUAGUUCCAGUCAGGGGAGCAACAACAAGGGAUAACUGGCUGCCAGCCAAGGAGCCAUCCCCUACAAGGAAGCAAGCAGCAUCCACGCCUGCACAGGCUGCCUGGAUGCUUGUUACUCCUCUUUCUUCUUCAGAGAGUGUGGAAAGUCCCCUAUCUCGGCCCAGAAGCAAUGCUGAGAGCAUCAGGUGCUGCAAACAGGAAGAACUGCCUUGCUGUGUGAAAGUGGGUGUUAGAGGUUCUCCUGCAGGAAGGGCCAGGAACGAGUCCAUUCACUUAUUCCCCAGAGGAAAGCGUGAAUAUCUUUCUAGGGAACAGAGAGGUUUUUUAAUUAGUGCUCCCUUCUGCAUAAAGCCUGGCUCUCCUCCUCUGACUCCUCAGAUGAGCACAGCUAUAAUUAAGAGGCAGCGGUGUCGGGAAGGAGAGCAGGCUCCAGCCUGUGAUUUAUUAAGGGCUGCCGUGGGUGCAAUUGCCUUUCUCUCUUCCCCUCUCCUCAGUGUAUCCACAAAGUGAAUUUAGUGAUGAAAGGAGUGUCUCGGGCGAAUGGGCGCCUCUGUGUUUAUCUCCAGUGCAGACAGAACAAGGGCAGAGUUACUGCUGCUUUUUUUUUUUUUCUUUCCCAUGGGGUUACCAAGGAAAGCCUCAAAGCUCCUUUAGAGAAUUUCAUAUCUACAAGUCUCAGUUCCAGCCUAAACCCCAAGCCUCUGGGCCUCCCCAUGAGCAACACCUGGACCAAGGAGCAGCAAACACCUCCUGCCAGAAGCGGUGGGGUGAGGAGCGAGCCCAGAGGAAUCCUGCUGGAGACCCCCCGAGGUGUCCGCAGCGAUGAGUGAGCGCCAUGAGACGUGGGGAAGGCAGAGCACAAAGGCUGCAACUUGAAGUUAAAGUGUGUAACUCUCCCACCUCCGUCCAGCUCUUUAAGAAUAAACCCAGAGAUCGGUGGACAAUCCAUUUCUUGCUGACUGAGGUUCAUCUCAACGCAGAGAAACCAGGUGACAUUCCAAGUCAGAACACCUUCCCUUUCUUACCACAGAUCUUACCACCAGUCCUGAAGCGGCAACCAUUCUGAUCGCUCAGCCUGGCCCUCUGCUUGGGUAAGCAUCAGACUUCCCCCCAGCCCCCCUUCAGCCCCACAUCCAGCAUGGCAAUGUGGCAACACUGAAGGACAUCCAAUGCUGAUUUUAAAAUCUUAUGCAGCAGAGAGUCUUCUGUAUACCCUAGUGAUCUAUUCCUACUUCAAGUUCCAGGCAUUGUGAAGAAGCUGCACUUAUGCCUUACUUGUAUCAUAUUUCUGAGCUUGCCUUGGUAGAUUUUGCUGUUUAGCUACAUGAGACUUGGAACUUGCUUUUUAUUCAUCCGUCAGGCUCCAAGCAAAUAAAUGCAGAAAGCUUUAAGGCAGUUGGCUAAGCAUUCAGCCCUACAGCAACGCAGCUG